GCUGGGCAUGGUGGCACUUGCCUGUAGUCCUAGCUACUUGGGAGGCUGAGGCAGGAGAAUCACUUGAACCCAGGAGGCGGAGGUUGCAGUGAGCUGAGAUUAUGCCGCUGCACUCCAGCCUGGGUAACAGAGUGAGACUCUGUCUCAA
rnacentral:SRP_RNA from 1 species